rnacentral:rRNA from 1 species
GAUGAACGCUGGCGGCGUGCCUAAUACAUGCAAGUCGAGCGAACAGACGAGGAGCUUGCUCCUCUGACGUUAGCGGCGGACGGGUGAGUAACACGUGGAUAACCUACCUAUAAGACUGGGAUAACUUCGGGAAACCGGAGCUAAUACCGGAUAAUAUAUUGAACCGCAUGGUUCAAUAGUGAAAGACGGUUUUGCUGUCACUUAUAGAUGGAUCCGCGCCGCAUUAGCUAGUUGGUAAGGUAACGGCUUACCAAGGCGACGAUGCGUAGCCGACCUGAGAGGGGGAUCGGCCACACUGGAACUGAGACACGGUCCAGACUCCUACGGGAGGCAGUAGUAGGGAAUCUUCCGCAAUGGGCGAAAGCUUGACGGAGCAACGCCGCGUGAGUGAUGAAGGUCUUCGGAUCGUAAAACUCUGUUAUUAGGGAAGAACAAAUGUGUAAGUAACUAUGCACGUCUUGACGGUACCUAAUCAGAAAGCCACGGCUAACUACGUG